UAAAAAUCGGGUAUUUAAUCGACGAAUUUGGGCGAAAUAAAAGCUAGAAGUUAAAAUGGUUAAAAAUGGCAAUUCAAAGGACUAAAGGAGACUUUUCCCAUUAAAACUUGAAUCAAAUUGAUUUGAUUCUCAGAUCAGCAAUAGAAAAAAAAAAGGACUCAGCCCUCAACUUCAUCUCCAUCCUUAGAAAGCUUAAACAUGCAAGAACUUAGAAUUGCCAUAUCUUGCUCGAUUUUGGUCCGAAUUGGACGAUUCUUGCGGCCACGGAACGGGGAAGGAAAGCUCUAUGCAUCUAUCCCAUAGACUCAAGACAUAUCGACGAGUACGGACUUGACGGUGUUGGCUUAGUGGGGUUCGGCCAUUAUUUUGAUAUCAUGAUUUGGAUAGCAAAUUCGACAUAUCGACGAGUACGGACUUGACGGUGUUGGCUUAGUGGGGUUCGGCCAUUAUUUUGAUAUCAUGAUUUGGAUAGCAAAUUCGUGUUUUCUUUCAGGUUUAUUAUGCGGUGACGUGGUCGAGCUUCCAUCCACUGUUCUGGAAGUCUCAGUUAUGAGAGUUCCUACCCUUCUUAGAGCUGCAGUAGUUAUGUUAGUAGAUUAAUUCGAUAGUUGACAGUUUAUGUUUUUCAUGUGCUGUGGCAUAAAGAUGUAUUUUUGGAAAACGGUUUAUCCACACAUUUUGUAUAUGAUUACAUGAUAUUUUGCACAAGGUGGUUUGUGUUUUUAACAGGUGCCAGUAGCACAGUUUUCAAACGUUAUAUUGCCGAUUUUUUUUAAAAUUUAAGAUUGUUGUUUUGCAAAAAGUUUAUAGUGAAUUUCAGGCUUACUACGGGAUUUGGAACUACAAUUCUCAUUCCCUAGCGCCGGUCGCGGCCCUCGAUUUUGGGUCGUGACAAUAAUAAACUUUAGCAUUAGAAUUGGCUGAUGCUGAAUGGCGUCACUUGUACCCUGAA